rnacentral:lncRNA from 1 species
GUUGCGCGACUCUCCUCUUCUUUCUUCACAAAAUUAUCAACAUCUAUUCUUCUCCUUCUUCGAAUCAUUCGUCUUCUCCUUCUCCAAAUUCUUUCUUCAGGAUCUUCUCAAUAUUCUUCUACAUCAUUUGAUUUCAUACCUCAAUCAAAAUUAUGGUUGAUUAUCAAUCAGAUUCACAAAGUUUCUCCCACAUCAAUGAAAUUCAUAACACUAGAAAUCCUUUCUUUUUGCUUUCAGGAGCAAUUCUUGUUUAAACACCUUUGGAUGAAACGAAGUACUAUUCUUGGAGCAAAAGCAUGAAACCAGCC